AUUAUCUCCAAUGGCAUGUCUCUCGCUCUCUCCUCGCCUCUCCCUACCUAAUGCAGGCGUCUUCAGGCUGGGAGCUCCAUUAAUUACCAGGCAGGGCUGUAAAAGGGAGAGAUUAUUUUACCACAACGAAAAUGAUAAAGAAUGACAGGUGCAGAGUAGCAGAGAGGAGGAUGCUGGGAGCAGGAGAACAUCAGCUUCUCCUAACAGUACAGCGCAAGACGUUUGCAUAUAUAUAUGAACUGAUAAAAUCUUGUGUGGGCUAAUAUAGCCGACAAAUCCCUGGAUUAGAAAAUUACAGACUGAGAACAGCUGCUGUCUUGCUCCUUAAUAAAUUUGAUUGGAUAUUCCACAUAAAACGUAGGGUCU